CAGCCGCCGCGGUAAUGCGUAGGGUGCGAGCGUUAAUCGGAAUUACUGGGCGUAAAGCGUGCGCAGGCGGUUCGUUAAGACAGAUGUGAAAUCCCCGGGCUUAACCUGGGAACUGCAUUUGUGACUGGCGGGCUAGAGUAUGGCAGAGGGGGGUAGAAUUCCACGUGUAGCAGUGAAAUGCGUAGAGAUGUGGAGGAAUACCGAUGGCGAAGGCAGCCCCCUGGGCCAAUACUGACGCUCAUGCACGAAAGCGUGGGGAGCAAACAGGAUUAGAUACCCGCGUAGUCCCUGUCUCUUAUAC
rnacentral:rRNA from 1 species